UUUUAUGUUGUUUAUUAAUAAUUUAUUAUAUAUGUAUAUAUAUAUAUAUAUAUAUAUUAUAUAUAUAUUAAAAAUAGUUAUAAAGUUAUUUUUUUUAGUAUUAAUUUAAGAAAAAAUAAAAUUUAUUAUAGUAUAUUAGUAUUGAAAAAGAAAAUUGAAAUAUUAUGAAAAAUUUAAAUAUAAAAAGAAAAAUUUAAUUUUUGUACCUUGUGUAUCAGGGUUUAUUAAAAAAAAAUUAUUAAAAUUAAUUUUCUCGAUUUUAAAAGAUUUAAUAUAUUAAAAAAGUUAAAGUAAUAAAUUUAUUUUAAAUAAUAUAUUUGAAAUGAAAUGUUUUUCGUUUUUAAAGGUAUCUAGUUUAUUAAGAAAUAAAUUUAAUUUAUAAAUUUUAUAUUAUUUAAUUAUUUAUAUUAAUUAAAUAAAUAUUUAAUUUAAAUAUUUUAUGGGAUAAGCUAUGAAAUAAAUUAUUAAAAAUUAUUAAUUAAUUAUGAAAUAUAGGGUUAAAAUUAUUCAUUAUUAAUAAAAAUGUAAUAAUUUAUUAAAUAAUAUAAAAAAUUUAAAUAAUUUUAAUUAUUUAUUAAUAUAUAAUUUAUAAUAAAAAAAAAUAAGAAAUAAUGAUAUAAUUAGUAUAAAUUAAUUUAAAAAUAUAAAAUUAUUUAAAUUUUAGUUAAAGAAUUCGGCAAAAAUAUAUAUAUUCACCUGUUUAACAAAAACAUCUCUUUAUGAAUAAAAUAUAAAGUUUAACCUGCCCACUGAAUAUUAAAUGGCUGCAGUAUAUUGACUGUACAAAGGUAGCAUAAUAAUUAGUUUUUUAAUUGAGAACUGGAAUGAAUGGUUGGAUGAAAUAUAAACUGUUUUAAUUAAAAUAAAUUUGAAUUUUAUUUUUUAGUAAAAAAGCUAAAAUUUAUUUAAAAGACGAGAAGACCCUAUAAAUCUUUAUAUAAAAAUUUUAAUUUUAAUUAUUUAGAUGAUUUAAUGAGUUAAUAUUUUUAUAUUUUAUUGGGGAGAUAGUAAAAUUUAAUAAACUUUUAUUAAUAAUUUCAUUAAUUUAUGAAUUAUUGAUUAAUUUUUAAUGCAUAAUAAAAUAAGUUACUUUAGGGAUAACAGCGUAAUUAUUUUGGAGAGUUCAUAUUGAUAAAAUAGA
rnacentral:rRNA from 1 species